AUAAUCUGUCUCUUAUUUAAAAAUAAAAUUUAAUUUUUAAAUUAAAAAGUUUAAAUAAUUUAAAAAGACGAGAAGACCCUAUAGAGUUUUAUAGAUAAAUUAAUUAAGGUUAUUAGGAUAGUUUAAAAAUUAAAAUUAAUUUAUUUAUUUUGUUGGGGUGAUAGAAAAAUAUAUUUAACUUUUUUUUUAAUAAAAACAUUUAUAAGUGGUUAGAUGAUCCAUUAUUAUUGAUUAUAAGAAAAAAUUACCUUAGGGAUAACAGCGUAAUUUUUUUUUUUAGUUCAUAUAAUAAAAAGAGUUUGCGACCUCGAUGUUGGAUUAAGAUAAAAUUUAAAUGCAGAAG
rnacentral:rRNA from 1 species